rnacentral:rRNA from 1 species
CGUACACUCCUACGGGAGGCAGCAGUGAGGAAUAUUAGACAAUGGGUGGAAGCCUGAUCCAGCCAUCCCGCGUGCAGGAAGACGGCCCUAUGGGUUGUAAACUGCUUUUAUCUGGGGAUAAACCUACUUACGUGUAAGUAGCUGAAGGUACCAGAAGAAUAAGCACCGGCUAACUCCGUGCCAGCAGCCGCGGUAAUACGGAGGGUGCAAGCGUUAUCCGGAUUUAUUGGGUUUAAAGGGUCCGUAGGCGGACUGAUAAGUCAGUGGUGAAAUCCGACAGCUUAACUGUCGAACUGCCAUUGAUACUGUUAGUCUUGAGUAAGGUUGAAGUGGCUGGAAUAAGUAGUGUAGCGGUGAAAUGCAUAGAUAUUACUUAGAACACCAAUUGCGAAGGCAGGUCACUAAGUCUUAACUGACGCUGAUGGACGAAAGCGUGGGGAGCGAACAGGAUUAGAAACCCUGGUAGUCCC